rnacentral:rRNA from 1 species
GGUUAAGUUAAUAAGGGCGCACGGUGGAUGCCUUGGCACUAGGAGCCGACGAAGGACGUGACAAACGACGAUAUGCCUUGGGUAGCUGUAAGUAAGCGAUGAUCCAGGGAUUUCCGAAUGGGGGAACCCAACAGGUAAUACCUGUUACCCACAUCUGUUAAGGAUGUGAGGAGGAAGACGCAGUGAACUGAAACAUCUAAGUAGCUGCAGGAAGAGAAAGCAAAAGCGAUUGCCUUAGUAGCGGCGAGCGAAACGGCAGAAGGGCAAACCGAAGAGUUUACUCUUCGGGGUUGUAGGACUGCAAUGUGGACUCAAAGAUUAUAGAAGAAUGAUUUGGGAAGAUCAGCCAAAGAGAGUAAUAGCCUCGUAUUUAAAAUAGUCUUUGUACUUAGCAGUAUCCUGAGUACGGCGGGACACGUGAAAUCCCGUCGGAAUCUGGGAGGACCAUCUCCCAACCCUAAAUACUCCCUAGUGACCGAUAGUGAACCAGUACCGUGAGGGAAAGGUGAAAAGCACCCCGGGAGGGGAGUGAAAUAGAACCUGAAACCGUGUGCCUACAACAAGUUCGAGCCCGUUAAUGGGUGAGAGCGUGCCUUUUGUAGAAUGAACCGGCGAGUUACGUUAUGAUGCGAGGUUAAGUUGAAGAGACGGAGCCGUAGGGAAACCGAGUCUGAAUAGGGCGCCUUAGUAUCAUGACGUAGACCCGAAACCAUGUGACCUACCCAUGAGCAGGUUGAAGGUGCGGUAAGACGCACUGGAGGACCGAACCAGGGCACGUUGAAAAGUGCUUGGAUGACUUGUGGGUAGCGGAGAAAUUCCAAACGAACUUGGAGAUAGCUGGUUCUCUCCGAAAUAGCUUUAGGGCUAGCGUCGACAUUAGAGAUUCUUGGAGGUAGAGCACUGUUUGGGUGAGGGGUCCAUCCCGGAUUACCAAUCUCAGAUAAACUCCGAAUGCCAAUGAAUUAUGGUCGGCAGUCAGACUGCGAGUGCUAAGAUCCGUAGUCGAAAGGGAAACAGCCCAGACCACCAGCUAAGGUCCCAAAAUAAUUGUUAAGUGGAAAAGGAUGUGGGGUUGCACAGACAACUAGGAUGUUAGCUUAGAAGCAGCUAUUCAUUCAAAGAGUGCGUAAUAGCUCACUAGUCGAGUGACCCUGCGCCGAAAAUGUACCGGGGCUAAAACAAUUUACCGAAGCUGUGGAUACCUUUAUAGGUAUGGUAGGAGAGCGUUCUAUGUGUGAUGAAGGUAUACCGUGAGGAGUGCUGGAACGCAUAGAAGUGAGAAUGCCGGUAUGAGUAGCGAAAGACAGGUGAGAAUCCUGUCCACCGUAAGACUAAGGUUUCCAGGGGAAGGCUCGUCCGCCCUGGGUUAGUCGGGACCUAAGGAGAGACCGAAAGGUGUAUCCGAUGGACAACAGGUUGAUAUUCCUGUACUAGAGUAUGUAGUGAUGGAGGGACGCAGUAGGCUAACUAAAGCAGACGAUUGGAAGAGUCUGUCUAAGCAGUGAGGUGUGAAUUGAGUCAAAUGCUUAAUUCUAUAACAUUGAGCUGUGAUGGGGAGCGAAGUUUAGUAGCGAAGUUAGUGAUGUCACACUGCCAAGAAAAGCUUCUAGCGUUUAAACAUACUCUACCCGUACCGCAAACCGACACAGGUAGUCGAGGCGAGUAGCCUCAGGUGAGCGAGAGAACUCUCGUUAAGGAACUCGGCAAAAUGACCCCGUAACUUCGGGAGAAGGGGUGCUGACUUAAAGUCAGCCGCAGUGAAUAGGCCCAAGCAACUGUUUAUCAAAAACACAGCUCUCUGCUAAAUCGUAAGAUGAUGUAUAGGGGGUGACGCCUGCCCGGUGCUGGAAGGUUAAGAGGAGUGCUUAGCGUAAGCGAAGGUAUGAAUUGAAGCCCCAGUAAACGGCGGCCGUAACUAUAACGGUCCUAAGGUAGCGAAAUUCCUUGUCGGGUAAGUUCC